CGUGGGAUCUGUUGGUUUUGUUGGUACAGGUGCCUUGACGUGCACUAGUCGUGGAAGACGCGGACAGAGCCAGGAGAAGCCGACGGAUUUUCUACCUGGCGGACACCGACUGAACACUCGACUAGCAGUCUGCUCCGCGUUCGAACGUACCUUCGAUCCUCCUGCUCCUGCUCCUGGUUCUUCCUGUACGCUGUUCACGUUUGCUGAUCGGCUAUAACGGAAGCUGACGAGUUCGACCUUAAUUUUUGGUGGGACCGCUGCUACCAGGAAAUUUUUGCUAACAGAAGUCGAUGCACAUAUCUGGGUGUUGAAGACGACCUUGAUGGCUCGCUGUUGUAAAGAUAUAAGAGCGAUUGUGAAACCAAUUGGUGGGUAUGAUAACGGGGGAUGAUUGGAGAUAGGAAAUGUUCUUGGAAUUAAUGAUACUGCGGUGGGCGCUGUUUUAUUAUUCCAGACGGAAGCGAGUCUGGUCGGAGUAUAGUCGGAUAAAUAAUUUUGUUGCUUGCUGAAGAUAUUUUACAUAUUAAUGCGUAAGACGUUAGUCCGUAUUCGAGUGGGUUUAUUGCGUGUUUAUUUACUAACUCUCAUUGCGAGUACGGUGGGUAUGGUAUAUGUAUACGUAUGUUAUUCAAAUAAAUGCUUUCUCAUAUUACGUAUGACGAAUAACAUUCCUUUUUAUGUUUAUCGCUGUCACCUUUUACAAUCGUAUCCUUAUGGUAAUUUUAUGACAUUUUUUUUUCGUUAAUAGUGAAUCUUCGAAUGGUGGUAAAAUGUCAUUAUGGGACUAUCGUUUGCCUAUCGAUGGAUACGGAGAACCUAUGGCCUGUUCGCUUCUAAGAGAAAUUGUGAAAGCUACAUGUACGCGUUGCAUAUUUAUCUAUGAUAG